rnacentral:rRNA from 1 species
GAAGACGAUCAGAUACCGUCGUAGUCCCGACCGUAAACGAUGCCGACCGAGGGCCCGGAGGAGUUACGUACGACCCUCCGGGCCCUCCCGCGAGAAAUCAGGAGUAUUCGGGUUCCGGGGGGAGUAUGGUCGCAAGGCCGAAACUUAAAGGAAUUGACGGAAGGGCACCACCAGGAGUGGAAUCUGCGGCUUAAUUUGACCCAACGCGGGAAAACUCACCAGGUCAGGACACGGUAAGGAUUGACGGACUGAAGGCUCUUUCUCGAUUCCGUGGAAAGUGGUGCAUGGCCGUUUUUGGUUGGUGGAUCGAUCCGUCUGGUUAAUUCCGUUAACGAACGAGACCUCGGCACUCCGAAUAGCGCGGCGGACGUCGCGGCCUCCGGGCCGUCUUCCGCACGAGCUUCUUAGAGGGACCGUCCCCCGCCGGGGAAGGAGGUGC